AGUCAACAUGCCCAGGGGACGUGGAUAACCUCGGGAAACUGAGGAUAAACCGCGAUAGGCCAAGAUUUCUGGAAUGAAUCAUGGUUUAAAUCUAUAUGGCCCCUGGAUUGGACUGCGGCCGAUCAGGCUGUUGGUGAGGUAAUGGCCCACCAAACCUGUAACCGGUACGGGCUCUGAGAGGAGGAGCCCGGAGAUGGGCACUUAGACAAGGGCCCAGGCCCUAUGGGGCGCAGCAGGCGCGAAACCUCUGCAAUAAGCGAAAGCUUGACAGGGUUACUCUGAGUGAUUUCCGCUAAGGAAGUCUUUUGGCACCUCUAAAAAUGGUGCAGAAUAAGGGGUGGGCAAGUCUGGUGUCAGCCGCCGCGGUAAUACCAGCACCCCGAGUGGUCGGGACGAUUAUUGGGCCUAAAGCAUCCGUAGCCGGUCCUGCAAGUCCUCCGUUAAAUCCACCCGCUCAACGGUUGGGCCGCGGGGGAUACUACAGGGCUAGGAGGCGGGAGAGGCAAGCGGUACUCGAUGGGUAGGGGUAAAAUCCACUGAUCCAUUGAAGACCACCAGUGGCGAAGGCGGCCUGCCAGAACGCGCUCGACGGUGAGGGAUGAAAGCUGGGGGAGCAAACCGGAUUAGAUACCCGGGUAGUCCCAGCUGUAAACGAUGCAGACUCGGUGAUGGGCUGGCUUCGUGCCAACCCGGUGCCGCAGGGAAGCCGUUAAGUCUGCCGCCUGGGGAGUACGGUCGCAAGACUGAAACUUAA
rnacentral:rRNA from 1 species